CAGCAGCCGCGGGAAUACGUAGGUCCCGAGCGUUGUCCGGAUUUAUUGGGCGUAAAGCGAGCGCGGGCGGUUAGAUAAGUCUGAAGUUAAAGGCUGUGGCUUAACCAUAGUACGCUUUGGAAACUGUUUAACUUGAGUGCAAGGGGGGAGAGUGGAAUUCCAUGUGUAGCGGUGAAAUGCGUAGAUAUAUGGAGGAACACCGGUGGCGAAAGCGGCUCUCUGGCUUGUAACUGACGCUGAGGCUCGAAAGCGUGGGGAGCAAACAGGAUUAGAUACCCCUGUAGUCCCUGUCUCUUAUACA
rnacentral:rRNA from 1 species